CCUACGGGAGGCAGCAGUGGGGAAUAUUGCGCAAUGGGCGAAAGCCUGACGCAGCGACGCCGCGUGAGGGAUGAAGGUCUUCGGAUCGUAAACCUCUGUCAGCAGGGAAGAACGGUCACUGUGCUAAUCAGCAGUGAAUUGACGGUACCUGCAAAGGAAGCACCGGCUAACUCCGUGCCAGCAGCCGCGGUAAUACGGAGGGUGCGAGCGUUAGUCGGAAUUACUGGGCGUAAAGCGCUCGUAGGCGGUAUGUCAAGUCAAGGGUGAAAUCCCCGCGCUCAACGUGGGAACUGCCUUUGAAACUGGGAAGCUGGAGUGUGUGAGAGGAUAGUGGAAUUCCAGGUGUAGGAGUGAAAUGCGUAGAUAUCAGGAGGAACACCAGUGGCGAAGGCGACUAACUGGCACAUAACUGACGCUGAGGAGCGAAAGCGUGGGUAGCAAACAGGAUUAGAUACCCUUGUAGUC
rnacentral:rRNA from 1 species